UCCAGACUCCUACGGGAGGCAGCAGUGGGGAAUAUUGGGCAAUGGGCGCAAGCCUGACCCAGCAACGCCGCGUGAAGGAAGAAGGCUUUCGGGUUGUAAACUUCUUUUCUUGGGGACGAAGAAAGUGACGGUACCCAAGGAAUAAGCCACGGCUAACUACGUGCCAGCAGCCGCGGUAACACGUAGGUGGCAAGCGUUAUCCGGAUUUAUUGGGUUUAAAGGGUGCGCAGGCGGAUUUUUAAGUCAGCGGUCAAAUCGUGGGGCUCAACCCCAUCCAGCCGUUGAAACUGGGGAUCUAGAGUGUGCGAGAGGUAUGCGGAAUGCGUGGUGUAGCGGUGAAAUGCAUAGAUAUCACGCAGAACCCCGAUUGCGAAGGCAGCAUACCGGUGCACAACUGACGCUCAGGCACGAAAGCGUGGGUAUCGAACAGGAUUAGAUACCCCGGUAAAG
rnacentral:rRNA from 1 species